rnacentral:SRP_RNA from 1 species
GCCAAGUGCGGUGGUGCAUGCCUGUAUUCCCAGCUGCCAGGGAGGCUGAGCCGAGGGAUCGCUUGAGCCCAGGAGUUCUGGGCUGCCGUGUGCUGUGCCCAGCAGGCGUCCAAGCUAAGGGGCCAUCAGUAUGGUGACCUGCGGGGAGCUGUGGGACACCAGGAAGACCAAGGAGGAGUGAACUAGCCCAGGCCAGAGACGGAGCAGAUCAAAGCUCCUGUGGGGGUCAGUGACAAGAUCGUGCCCGUAAAUAGUCAUGUCAGUGCAACUUGAACAUCCAAAACACUAUUCCU